rnacentral:lncRNA from 1 species
CUGCGAUCUACGUCAAAGGAAUCAACUCGGACGGAUCGCGCAACUUCCCACAGAGCCAGUGUUCACAUCACUCGCCCCUUGUCCCCGCAGACGUCCACCACAGGGUCAUGUGCCAGGUGUGAUUUCGUCCGGAAGAGAGGAAGCUCGACAUGGAAGGCCUGGCCCGCUCUCGGAGAUGUUUCGUCAUUCUGAAUCCCACCACAGGAACAAAGACUGUGAGACUGUGAAUUACAAACCAGAAAACGGGGAAAGAGAAGAGGAACAAUGGCGUUCACCCAUCCUGUUUCAUCCCUGCUAAAAAAGUUAAUGGACUUUUGAAUGGCAGCAAACGUGAGUCAGGUUAAGCCUGUUCAAGUCGUUUAGUUGUGAGAAAUAUUUGUUCCAUUUUUUCUACUGUUGGUUUGGUCAUUGUUAAGACCUCAUUCCAUGUUUG